rnacentral:rRNA from 1 species
GACGAACGCGGGCGGCGUGCCUAAUACAUGCAAGUAGGACGCACAGUUUAUACCGUAGCUUGCUACACCAUAGACUGUGAGUUGCGAACGGGUGAGUAACGCGUAGGUAACCUGCCUAUUAGAGGGGGAUAACUAUUGGAAACGAUAGCUAAUACCGCAUAACAGUAUGUAACACAUGUUAGAUGCUUGAAAGAUGCAAUUGCAUCGCUAGUAGAUGGACCUGCGUUGUAUUAGCUAGUAGGUAGGGUAAUGGCCUACCUAGGCGACGAUACAUAGCCGACCUGAGAGGGUGAUCGGCCACACUGGGACUGAGACACGGCCCAGACUCCUACGGGAGGCAGCAGUAGGGAAUCUUCGGCAAUGGGGGGAACCCUGACCGAGCAACGCCGCGUGAGUGAAGAAGGUUUUCGGAUCGUAAAGCUCUGUUGUUAAGGAAGAACGAGUGUGAAAAUGGAAAGUUCAUACUGUGACGGUACUUAACCAGAAAGGGACGGCUAACUACGUGCCAGCAGCCGCGGUAAUACGUAGGUCCCGAGCGUUGUCCGGAUUUAUUGGGCGUAAAGCGAGCGCAGGCGGUUAGAAAAGUCUGAAGUGAAAGGCAGUGGCUCAACCAUUGUAGGCUUUGGAAACUGUUUAACUUGAGUGCAGAAGGGGAGAGUGGAAUUCCAUGUGUAGCGGUGAAAUGCGUAGAUAUAUGGAGGAACACCGGUGGCGAAAGCGGCUCUCUGGUCUGUAACUGACGCUGAGGCUCGAAAGCGUGGGGAGCGAACAGG